GGAGUUAGCCGGUGCUUCUUCUGUGAGUGAUGUCCUUCCUGCCGGCUAUUAACCCGCAGGCCUUCUUCCUCACUGAAAGUGCUUUACAACCCGAAGGCCUUCUUCACACACGCGGCAUGGCUGGAUCAGGGUUGCCCCCAUUGUCCAAUAUUCCCCACUGCUGCCUCCCGUAGGAGUCUGGGCCGUGUCUCAGUCCCAGUGUGGCUGAUCAUCCCUCUCAGACCAGCUACGGAUCGUCGCCUUGGUGAGCCGUUACCUCACCAACCAGCUAAUCCGACAUAGGCUCAUCCGAUAGCGCGAGGCCCGAAGGUCCCCCGCUUUCCCCCGUAGGGCCGUAUGCGGUAUUAGCCUGGGUUUCCCCAGGUUAUCCCCCACUACCGGGCAGAUUCCUAUGCAUUACUCACCCGUCCGCCGCUCGCCACCAGGGAGCAAGCUCCCCGUGCUGCCGCUCGACUUGCAUGUGUUAGGCCUGCCGCCAGCGUUCAAUCUGAGCCAGAAUCGAACCCUGA
rnacentral:rRNA from 1 species